AUGAUGAUAGGCAGCCACAUCGAUGGCGGCCAGAAGGUGAAUCAGUUGAGCUUGGCCUACGCGCAGAAGCUGUGGAACGAGUGGGAGCUGCAAUGCAUGGUCCUUGGCAGCUUCGCCUUGCAGGCUUUCCUCCUCUUCGCAGCGCACAUCCGGAAGCGCAACACGUCCACCAUGCUCCGCAUCCUACUUUGGCUCGCGUACCUCAUGGCAGACUACGUCGCCGUCUUCGUCCUCGGCCACCUCACCCUCCAAACAAACGAUCCACGCCACCAGCUAGUGCUCCUGUGGGCACCGGUCCUGCUGCUCCACCUGGGCGGGCAGGACACCAUCACCGCCUUAUCCAUGGAGGACAAUGAACUGUGGAAACGCCACCUCCUGGGCCUCGUCACCCAGGUGGUUCUGGCCGUCUACGUCGUGGCCAAGUCAUGGGGACGCGACAAGCGGCUCCUGGCUCCUGUGGUGCUGAUGUUCGUCUCGGGGACUGUCAAGUAUGCCGAGAGGACAUGGGCGCUCAAGAUGGCCACCGCGGAGGCGAUCAAGGACAGCCGCAUGGGUGAUCUGUACAAGGCGCUGAGGAAAUUCGAAGACCCUAAAGCGAGACAAGCACCACAAACCUCGUCGGAGAUUGCCAAGUACAAUCAAGAGAUUGUUGGCCGGAACAAAUGGUGGCUCCAACAAGAGUACGCCGACCUCGUGCAAGCAGCCGGCGACAGCCUGCCCAACUGCAUCAAUGUCUUGAAUGACAUCCCUGUGGCGCCAUGGGUGUUACCUUCUAUAUUUAACAUGAUUGAGGAAAUAUAUCGGCGCGACAAUGGAGGAUCAACACAAGCAGGCGGAGGAGGAAAGGACUGGUUCUCAUCCAGGGCGUACAAGCUGUGUGAGCUCCAGCUCUCUCUCAUCUACGACCGCCUCUACACAAAGGUCGGCCUUCGGUACAACCAGUCCAGGCCAAUCAUCAGCAUUGGCCUUCAGCUCCUCACACUUGGCACCACUUCAACGGCCCUGGUGCUCUUUGCGACGGCGAGGAAGCAGGGCAGCGUGUACAGCCGUGUGGACAUCGUCGUCUCCUACAUCCUGCUGGCUGGUGCCGUGGCGCUGGAGUUGUUGUCCAUGCUAAUGGUCACCCUGUCCUACCGGUCAUACUGCUUCCUGCGCGACAGAUUCGGGGUGAACAGGUUCACACGAAUGAUAUUCUGUGUGAUCAGGUUCGUGCGACCAUACCACAAGCCACUGUGGUCCAACAAAUGGGCACAAUACAACCUGAUAGCCGGAUGUAUCAAGGAAAAGCAAGCCGGUGUCGUCGCAAGGAUGAUGCGCCGGAUUGGCCUCGCGGGGGACUCCAAGCUCUGCGCCAUCCCCGACGAGACCAAGGAGCUUAUCUGCAACGAGCUGGAUGACCAGGUCCGGUGCGAGCGGUUCAGCCAUGACCGAGGCACGGCAAUCCUAUCGCUGAGAGGGCACCAUGCAAGGUCUGAGCUGUACGAAAGCAUCGACAAGGUGGACUUCCCCAGAAGCGUCCUCACGUGGCACCUCAUCACGGACAUCUGCUUCUUCCUCACCGGCGGCGACGCCGGCCUUGCCAACCGCCACAUGAGGCUCUGCCGGGAGGUCUCCAACUACCUGAUGGACCUUGUCAUGGUGCGGCGCGUGAUGACCAGCAGCGAAGGCCACGUCGCGCACCUCAAGGCCAGGGAGGAGGUGAAGCUGAUGCUCGAGCAUCACAGUGACAAGAAGGUCAAAGUGGACGACGUCGAGGCCGUCAGGAAGAUGCUGGACGCCGGCGUGAGCCAUGCCACCGCCGCGUCCUCAGGGUACGUGCCGUUCGCGCGGAACUCGACGGACACCAUGCGGCCUGUGCUGCCCCGCGCGUGGGCGCUCGCGCAGACGCUGCUCCACCCCGCCGGGAGAUCAUCAGGCGGAGCACAGUGGGAGCUGAUCGCGUCGGUGCUCAUGGAGAUGCUGUUCCACCUCGCCCCCCGGUGCGAGGCCGGGUUCCACGCCAAGAACCUCAGCGCCGGCGGGGAGUACAUCACCCAUGUCAGGUUCCUGCUCCAUAACCGAGGCUUCGGCUGGAACUUCGUCCUUGCGCGCACCUGA
rnacentral:rRNA from 1 species